GGUCCUGUAGCUCAGUUGGUUAGAGCGCCCGCCUGUCACGUGGGAGGCCGAGAGUUCGAGUCUCUUCAGGACCGCCA
rnacentral:tRNA from 1 species